CAGUAGCCACGGGAAUACAGAGGUUGCAAGCGUUAAUCGGAAUUACUGGGCGUAAAGCGCGCGUAGGUGGUUCAUUAAGUUGGAUGUGAAAGCCCUGGGCUCAACCUGGGAACUGCAUCCAAAACUGGUGAGCUAGAGUACGGUAGAGGGUAGUGGAAUUUCCUGUGUAGCGGUGAAAUGCGUAGAUAUAGGAAGGAACACCAGUGGCGAAGGCGACUACCUGGACUGAUACUGACACUGAGGUGCGAAAGCGUGGGGAGCAAACAGGAUUAGAUACCCGCGUAGUCCCUGUCUCUUAUAC
rnacentral:rRNA from 1 species